GACAGAGGGUGCAAACGUUGCUCGGAAUUACUGGGCGUAAAGCGCGUGUAGGCGGACCACCAAGUCAGGCGUGAAAUCCCUGGGCUCAACCCAGGAACUGCACCUGAAACUGGCGGUCUGGAGUGGUGGAGAGGGAAGCAGAAUUCCUGGUGUAGAGGUGAAAUUCGUAGAUAUCAGGAGGAACACCGGUGGCGAAGGCGGCUUCCUGGACACUAACUGACGCUGAGACGCGAAAGCGUGGGGAGCAAACAGG
rnacentral:rRNA from 1 species